rnacentral:rRNA from 1 species
CCUACGGGUGGCAGCAGUGGGGAAUAUUGCACAAUGGGGGAAACCCUGAUGCAGCGACGCCGCGUGAGGGAAGAAGGAAUUAGGGAUAGAAAGCUCUAUCAGCAGGGAAGAAAAGGACGGUACCUGAGUAAGAAGCCCCGGCUAACUACGUGCCAGCAGCCGCGGUAAGACGGAGGGGGCAAGCGUUAUCCGGAGUUACUGGGUGUAAAGGGGGCGUAGACGGCGGUGCCAGUCUGGAGUGAAAGGCUGGGGCUCAACCCCCGGAUUGCUCUGGAAACUGUACGGCUGGAGUGCAGGAGAGGUAAGUGGAAUUCCUUGUGUAGCGGUGCAAUGCGUAGUUAUUACGCGGAACCCCAGUUGCGACGGCGGCUUACUGGACUGUAACUGACGUUGCGGCUCGACCGCGUGGGUAUCAAACAGGAUUAGAUACCCUUGUAGUC